AACCCCUAAAUCAUAACCCAGGAAUCCCAACUGUAAACGAUGAGAGACCUCGUAACUAGGCCACCUGUCCAACUGGUCGCAUGGAAGUCGGCGGAUGUCGUCCUUCCUUUCCAACUGGUUGCAUGGAAGUCGGAGGAUGUCGCCGCUUUUGCACUGCUUCAAUGUAAUCCGUCUGCCUCGUCAGCGGAUCCGCACGGCGCCGCCGCUCUCCACGUGGCACCGUCCAAUGGGAAUCAACUAGGAGCUUCGACGAGCCUAACUAACUACCCCCCUUCCCGCUUCCUUCGUUUCGUUCCCUUGAAAGGACUCUGUUUCCAUAAAACGGCCUCCCCAGAUUUUUUGAAACAGAGCUCCUUUUCCUCCCCUUCGGCUCUUCUCUCCUUCCUUUGUUUCCUUUUCGUUUACAAUCCUUUGGAGAGCGAGUUGAUUAACCUAAAGAAGGUUGUUUUUUUUUCUCCCCGUUUCCUGUCGUUUCAAUUCUAAACUUAUCUCAUCUCAUCAGAUAUUCUUUUCAUGUUUGUUUUUGUUAGACCCUGGAUUGGGUUGUAGAUAACUUAGAUGCGAAGAUUGGAUUGUUGUCAUCGGGAGUAGCUUCAGUAUUUGCUUAGGUUAUUCUUGUAUCUGCUUUUAUUUAUUUUAUAAUCUAAUUUCAUCUCAUUAAAUUGUUCUUGUGGUUGAAACUCUUGGGUGGAUAGCUUGGAAUCUGUAGUUUUUUUUGUUUAAAACAUCUCAUAUGCAUGGGAUGUACCUUAAUCGGAUUGAAAACUGUGAUGGAUUUUACCAUUGGUACUGUUGGCAAUAGUGCUUAAAAAAAUAAUUUUUUUAUAUAAAGGUUUUUCUUUUCUCUGCGUUUUUUUUAAUCUCAUUACAUUAGAUUGAAUACUUUAGGAUUUGUUGGUUUAUGUAGGUUGGAAUGUGGAUAUAGUCUGAUGUUAUUCGUUUUUGCUCCCAAAUAUAUUAUUCAUUAAUUUUGUAGGAGAUGAUGGAUGAAGCUGUUGGGUUAGAAGGAAGUGUUGAAUGGGCUGAGCAAGAGGGGAGCUUUAAUAGUUGGCUCGAUAAGGUGCUUGCUUCUGAUGGGAUUGAGAGUCCUCGCAUGGUUGAGGAAGAGAAUAGACCUCGAGAUAGGCCCAAAGAGCCAGACUCAAAUUCCAAGAGGCAGAAGAUAGGUCCAUGCACUGACAAGACAGAGGAACCCAGUCCUCUGGGUUUGAUUUUACGCAUAACUCCAUCUUUCUUGGAUCUCAUUGAUAGGAAGCUAUCUCAAAAGAAGACCACUCCUCUUAAUGGACCAACUUCGGGUACUAGUAUAGAAAAACAACAGACCAGAAAUGAUGAAUAUAACAUCCAACCCACAUUAAUGAAAUGGAAGGCUUCAAAUUUUCCUGCAACAAAACUCAAGAUCGGCUGUUGGGAGGCGAAAACUUGUUUGGGAGAUACAAGAAGAAAGAUUGAAAAAAAAGAUUGAGAUCCAAUGGACCGAUAUCUCAGCAACCAGAGCACGAUUCAUACGGGAUCAACCAGACAUUCUGGAAGUUGAGUUAAGGCAGCAGCCCAUGUUCUUUAAAGAGGUAAAUCCUCAGCCAAGAAAGCAUACUAAUUGGGAAGCUUGUUCUGAUUUUACCAGUGGGAAUGCAACCACAAACAGGAGGCACUAUCUUGAGUUUGUAGAAGGAACUUUGGAGAAACAUUAUGAAAGGCUUUUACGUUCUGAUCAUCGGCUACUUACGUUGAGUCAGAAAGUUUUUGCAAGCCAUGAUUCUCAGUUUUUUGAAACCGUUAAUAGCGACAUGCAAGAUAUGUGCAUGCUCCAACCAAAUUUCCACCUAUUUCAAAUCAACCAUCCAGCAACUGGUGUCCACCUCAUCUGAAUCAUAUUGACAAUCAAGGGAGUGCUCCUACUCACAUGUGGACCUUUGAAUCUCAUGAUCCAGCAGUUGGUGCCAACCAUCCACUUUCACUGCUGACACCAACACCCAGAGUUAUACAAAUGAAUUCGCCAAGUUCAGUCAUGGAGUGCCUACCAACUAUGAAUCAAGGUGCAAGUUCUUUUGA